ensembl:lncRNA
CAGGAGGCUCGCACGACCCCCAUACUGCUGCUCAAAGAGAGGGAGGGCGAAGACAGACAGACAUAUGCAGAGAGAGAGAGAGAGAGAGAGAGAGAUGACGAGAUGGAACCAGAGGUGGCUAGGGAAAGGGGAAGUGUAAAAAUUCUUUUUGACUGAUGCAUCAUGUACAAAGAUAAAAGGAGCAAUACGCUCAGGAAUACAGGAUGGGGUGGAUAACCCGACUGGCUCGACUCGAUCGGCCGCAUAAUGAGCGUCAUACGGGACAGCGACGACUCUCUGUCUGGCUCUCUGCAGCUAGGAGAAGACCAAAGGCAGCUAGAGUCUCAUACACAGAGAAAAACUGACAUGGUUUGGCGAGAUCAGAUAGCCACGUAUCUACAUGACAUUUCACCAGGCAUGUACAGAUGUGCGCGUCUUGACGGUUUGCAGUGAACUUAAGUCAAGCAGGCAGGUGUGUUCCUGUACGCUUGUGUGUGCAUGCAUGGCUGUUCAUGUAAUAAAGAUAAACCCCAGUCUAAGAAUGCAUGUAACAGAAAAAAAAUCAAGUGGUGUGAGUUUCGACAAGGAUUAUUAAAUGGUUGUGGAUGUCUACGGUUCACUUCUUUAUAACUAUGCCCUGUGGUUGACCACAAAUGGCAAAAUCAUGUAACAGAUCAGC